UAAUAAUAAUAAUAAUCACAUGCUGAGUGUCAGUGGGCUCUGCAUUCAGACAGGCCUAGGUGCAAAUUCUGGCUCCACCACCCACUGGUAUCCAUGAAUCAUUCAAUCAUUUGACAAACAUGUCUAUGUGCCAGAUAAAAGACAGAUCAGACAGAUAAGGUUCCUGCUCUCAUAGAGCUUUUCUUCCGGUGGAGGAAACAGAACAUACAUAUAAACAAGAUAAAGAUGAAACAAGAUGUUUUAAUGGAGAGGAGCUGGAGGGCUGAUCAGAUCAGGUAGACAGGGCAGUGGCAUGUAAGUUGAGAUAUUUAAAAAGAACCUGGUCAUGAGGAUAUCUGGAGAAUGAAAGUUCCAGGCAGAGAAAACAGGUAGUGCAAAGGCCCUGAGGCAGGAAUGAGGUGGAUACAUUUGAGAAAGCAGAAAGAAGGCAAGUAUGGCUAGGGCGGGAUGGGUGGAAGAAAAGUGGUGGAGGGUGAGUUGAGGGGCAGCAAGGUGGAGCUUUGCAGGCUUGAUUCACAUUUCUCAGGGUGAUUCUGGAGCCAGCAGCAGCAGCACCUGGGAACUUGUGAGGAAUGCAAAUUCUCAGGCCCCACCUAGAUCUGCUGAAUCAGCACUCUGUGUUUUAUCAAGCCUUCCAGAUGUUUCUGAGCAUGCUAAAGUUUCAGAAUUCUUCAGUUAGAUUAUGCAGUUUCAAUUUUAUUUGAGGUGCAAUGGGGACCUAUGGAAGGAUUAAGUAGAGAAGCAGCAUGUUAUGAUUUUCUUCAAAAAGAAUUUUUUUUUAAGUACUGUGGCUGCUGAGAGGAGAAAGGACUGUAACAGGAUGAGAGAAAUGGAGGCAGGGCGACAAGCUAGGCGGCUAUUGCAGGAGUGCUGGUGAGCAGUGACAGUGGUGACAGUGAUUUGAAUAGAGCAACGUGGCAGCAAGAACAGGGUCCUCCCAGUUGAUGGGACGAGGCUGACAAAUGGAGAGUGUGCGGCUCACACAAGCCUGGCUAGGGCAGGGAGGCAGAGCUGGGCCACCAUCUCUCCGGAGUGCAGUUCAAAGACCAUAUUCUCAACAAAGAUGCUCCACCCCCCUCCCACACCCUCCCUGUUGUCUAAAAUUAGAGAGCUUUGUGUGGAGAUCUUGCCUAUGGCAAACUUGGGCGGGCUCAGGGCAACUACGCUUUUAUGGAGGGCGGAUACUUCCUCUGGGGAGGAAGAGGAAGAGGAGGGACAAAUGAGGAGUGGCACAGUGAAAAACAGGUAAGACUGAAAGGUUGAGAAUGUUUUCUGGCUUCCUGAAAGGCUUAGGGAUUAGCUCUGCAGGGUGAACUAGGAGCCCUAGUUACAUUAAAUAAACACACACACACAGAGUUGAAUGAGACCUGUAGUUCCUAAAAACAAGAGUUGUGGAUUUUUGCUCAUAUCAUUACCCAUGAAAAUCCCUAAAGAGAAAUAGAACCUCUGGUCUUCCUUAUAUAGGUUCAGGGAGGACAAAGGGCUUAGAGGGGGCUGCAGCAAGAAAGUAACAGCAGCAGAACUCACACUCAGGCCUUUCCACAGUGUAACAUUCUUUCUAUGAUACCACAAGACAUCAAAUGACACUAGAGAUAUUGAACUUGAGUUGGAAGAGGCGAGUCCAGUCUCAAAAUGGAGGUAAAACCGCCGUCCAGUCGCCCCCAGCCCGACUCCGGCCGUCGCCGCCGCCGCCGCCGCCGGGGGGAGGAGGGCCAUGAUCCAAAGGAACCAGAGCAGUUGAGAAAACUGUUGAUUGGUGGUCUGAGCUUUGAAACUACAGAUGAUAGCUUAAGAGAACAUUUUGAGAAAUGGGGCACACUCACAGAUUGUGUGGUAAUGAGAGACCCCCAAACAAAAUGUUCUGGGGGCUUUGGUUUUGUGACUUACGCUUGUGUUGAAGAAGUGGGUGCAGCAAUGUGUGCUCGACCACACAAGGUUGAUGGGCGUGUUGUGUAACCAAAGAGAGCUGUUUCUAGAGAGGAUUCUGUAAAGCCUGGAGCCCAUCUAACAGGGAAGAAAAUUUUUGUUGUUGGUAUUAAAGAAGAAUAUAAUUUGAGAGACUACUUUGAAAAGUAUGGAAAGAUUGAAACCAUAGAAGUUAUGGAAGACAGGCAGAGUGGAAAAAAGAGAGGAUUUGCUUUUGUGACUUUCCAUGAUCAUGAUACUGUUGAUAAAAUUGUUGUUCAGAAAUACCACACUAUUGAUGGGCAUAAUUGUGAAGUGAAAAAGGCCCUUUCUAAACAAGAGAUGCAGUCUGCUGGAUCACAAAGAGGUCGGGGAGGUGGAUCUGGCAACUUUAUGGGUCGUGGAGGAAACUUUGGAGGUGGUGGAGGUAAUUUUGGCCAUGGUGGAGGUAAUUUUGGCCGUGGUGGAAACUUUGGUGGAAGAGGAGGCUGUGGUGGUGGAGGUGGUGGCAGCAGAGGUAGUUAUGGAGGAGGUGACGGUGGAUACAAUGGAUUUGGAGGUGAUGGUGGCAACUAUGGCGGUGGUCCUGGUUAUGGUAGUAGAGGGGGCUAUGGUGGUGGACCAGGAUAUGGAAACCAAGGUGGUGGAUAUGGCGGUGGUGGAGGAGGAUAUGAUGGUUACAAUGAAGGAGGAAAUUUUGGAGGUGGUAACUAUGGUGGUGGUGGGAACUAUAAUGAUUUUGGAAAUUAUAGUGGACAACAGCCAUCAAAUUAUGGACCCAUGAAAGGGGGCAGUUUUGGUGGAAGAAGCUCGGGCAGUCCCUAUGGUGGUGGUUAUGGAUCUGGUGGUGGAAGUGGUGGAUAUGGUAGCAGAAGGUUCUAAAAACAGCAGAAAAGGGCUACAUUUCUUAGCAGGAGAGAGAGUGAGGAGUUGUCAGGAAAGCUGCAGGUUACUUUGAGACAGUCGUCCCAAAUGCAUUAGAGGAACUGUAAAAAUCUGCCACAGAAGGAACGAUGAUCCAUAGUCAGAAAAGUUACUGCAGCUUAAACAGGAAACCCUUCUUGUUCAGGAUUGUCAUAGCCACAGUUUGCAAAAAGUGCAGCUAUUGAUUAAUGCAAUGUAGUGUCAAUUAGAUGUACAUUCCUGAGGUCUUUUAUCUGCUGUAGCUUUGUCUUUUUCUUUUUCUUUUCAUUACAUCAGGUAUAUUGCCCUGUAAAUUGUGGUAGUGGUACCAGGAAUAAAAAAUUAAGGAAUUUUUAACUUUUCAAAAAAAAAAA